rnacentral:rRNA from 1 species
UACGAAGGGGGCUAGCGUUGCUCGGAAUCACUGGGCGUAAAGCGCACGUAGGCGGAUUGUUAAGUCAGGGGUGAAAUCCUGGAGCUCAACUCCAGAACUGCCUUUGAUACUGGCGAUCUUGAGUCCGGGAGAGGUGAGUGGAACUCCGAGUGUAGAGGUGAAAUUCGUAGAUAUUCGGAAGAACACCAGUGGCGAAGGCGGACUCACUGGCCCGG